GGUUUUCAAUCCGUGAUCGUUGUGAGGGCAGUGGAGCACCAUUUGUCACCUGCCGCGCCUGCCGAAGUUUCCUGCGCAGCUACUAAAGUAUGACAGCUACAUCAAUUUCUUUUUUAAUUCGUUUGUGUAUUGAAAUUCGUUUUCUUCACAGGUGCCAGCAUGCCUAGACUGCGGGAGAAGCCGUACACGCGAAAGAGAGCGUCACUGGAAACAAAGACUAUAUUCGAGGACUUCGGAUCUCGCUCCGGCAGCCAGCAGUCAACGGCUCAAGAAUUCGCAAGUCUAGAACUGUGCAGUGGCGCAUAUACGCCGCACACUUGCAUUAACAUGUGCGGUCGUGCUGUCCCUGCAAACAUGUGUACGCCUUGUGAUGCUGGCCGCUGCACCGAGGCGACAUCGGAAGUUCAGGACGGUGGUUGUGACACUACGCGCAUUAAAGACAAUGUGCCUUGCUUCCCUGAUGGAUCGACUCCACGUGACUCUUCGGAUGGUUCACUUCGCUGUGAGAACGGAACAAGAUCCCUUAGGAGAGGUGUACGCACAAGUCAAUGUGGGUUCUCUGGUGAUCACUGUGCAGUCAUCAAGUUUCCAGAGAAGGGUGACUCUGUGGUUCUUGUACAUACCAAGCGGCUGCAUGGUGAUGUGUGCUUGUGGCCACAGGAUUUCAAGAAUGUUUCAUAUUUAGCAACAUGUGGAGCAUUUACAUUGUCCAUCUGGCAAGUUGUGCCAUGUGUGCCCACAGACACAUUCAAAGCACAGCAGAGGUAUGGGAGACGUAUUCACAAGCAGUCAUCACAUGCAUCAACAUCUAGGGCAAAUGAUGCCAAUGUGUGCAGUGAUCAAGGUGCAGUACAGUGUGAACAAAUGUGUGCUAGCGAGACUUCAGACUCUGAGGGUGAGGUUGACUCUGGAGGGGAACAAGAUGCAAAGCAAGAAUCGUCAGGCAUUGAAAGAUCAUUGACAGCUCACUCUUUUAUGAAAAAAAAACCUCAUUAAACUGCUCGUAAGCUAUGGGAUGAAGUGCAUGUCCAUGGAGUUUUUGGUCGACAAUAAGAUGCCUAUUGUGUGGUGAGGACUCAUAGUCAUGUCUGCCAUUGAGAAACUGCUUAGGCAGGCUCAAACCUACAAGGACAUAGCCCAAAAAAAUUACCCCGAAGUUACCAGUUUGAGUAAACUUUAACUAGCAAUGCUUUGAGCAUGUAGUUAUCACUGCACCAACAAGUACAAAUCUGUCAUGCUUGUAAAUGGCAGUAGAAAGCAUUUAGAAUUUCUAGCAUAUGUUAGAAAAGUUAGUUGUAACUGGAACAGUGAUUCUGCUUUUGCAGGUGUGUGAUUUUGCCGAGAUGUAUGGCACCUGGGUGUCAGUGUCGUAAGGAUGUGCCAUGCCAAUGUUGGUGAAUAAUUAUGUAUGUUAAUGUGGCAAUGCUUGCAGUAGAUUAUGAGUAGCGAAGCUCAGCAAAGCCAAUACAGGAAUUCGUCUGAUCAAAAGGUUGAGAGAAGACCCUCAAUUUCUUUUUCGCCAAUACAGCUUUCAAGAACUUUACCGGGGAAUUUCUUUUUUGAAGCUCCAAACAAGAAUUUGAGAAAGUUAGUUUAUCUUGGAUUACUAUAUUCUGCUCUGCAUUGUGAAUGUAAAUUCUAACGAUUGGCAUGUGGGGUUUGAUGCUGACCCAAAGUAACAAGGGAGUUAUGCAAUAUACACUGUGGUAGCUGCAGCAAGAGGGUUCCGUAUUUAUUUUCACCACCCGAGUUCUUUAUGUGCUCCUGAUGCUUGGUAUUUGGGUGUUAUUGCACUCUGCCCCCAUUGGAAGGCAGCUUCUGCAGCAAGGUGCGAGACCGGGCUAGUUGAUAUUCCAUGAUGAUGUAACCAGCCCGAGAGGCAGUGCCUAUUGCAGGAGGCAACUUUGUUAGUAAACCGUCCUUAGCGUUGACUGGGGUCUGCAAGCGGGGGGCCACCUUAGGCCUUCACGCACUCUUGUUGAUUUGUGGUGCUUACAUUAACUUACACAAGUAUAUCUGGUUGUAAUCACGUGCAUGAAGUUGUAUAUUUAUGCCUUUUUGUAAUAAAUACCAGUUGGAAGUCA